rnacentral:rRNA from 1 species
GACGAACGCUGGCGGCGUGCUUAACACAUGCAAGUCGAACGGUGAAGCGCCUUCCUUUUUGGUGGGUGUGGAUGAGUGGCGAACGGGUGAGUAACACGUGAGUAACCUGCCCCCUUCUUCUGGAUAACCGCAUGAAAGUGUGGCUAAUACGGGAUAUUCUGGGUCUGUCGCAUGAUGGGUCUGGGAAAGAUAUUGUUUCGGUGGGGGAUGGGCUCGCGGCCUAUCAGCUUGUUGGUGGGGUGAUGGCCUACCAAGGCGGUGACGGGUAGCCGGCCUGAGAGGGUGGACGGUCACACUGGGACUGAGGCACGGCCCAGACUCCUACGGGAGGCAGCAGUGGGGAAUAUGGCACAAUGGGCGCAAGCCUGAUGCAGCGACGCCGCGUGAGGGAUGGAGGCCUUCGGGUUGUGAACCUCUUUCGCCAGUGAAGCAGGCCUGCCUCGUUUGUGGGUGGGUUGACGGUAGCUGGAGAAGAAGCGCCGGCUAACUACGUG